rnacentral:rRNA from 1 species
CAGUCGCCGCGGGAAUACGUAGGUGGCAAGCGUUGUCCGGAAUUAUUGGGCGUAGAGGGCUCGCAGGCGGUUUCUUAAGUCUGAUGUGAAAGCCCCCGGCUCAACCGGGGAGGGUCAUUGGAAACUGGGAAACUUGAGUGCAGAAGAGGAGAGUGGAAUUCCACGUGUAGCGGUGAAAUGCGUAGAGAUGUGGAGGAACACCAGUGGCGAAGGCGACUCUCUGGUCUGUAACUGACGCUGAGGAGCGAAAGCGUGGGGAGCGAACAGGAUUAGAUACCCCCGUAGUCCCUGUCUCUUAUAC